rnacentral:rRNA from 1 species
AGAGUUUGAUUCUGGCUCAGAACGAACGCUGGCGGCGUGGAUAAGACAUGCAAGUCGAACGGUGACCUGGAGGUAGCAAUAUUUCCUUGUCAUAGUGGCGAAAGGGUGCGUAACACGUGGGUAAUUUGCCAUAAAGUUGGGGAUAACCCCGAGAAAUCGGGAUUAAUACCGAAUGUGGCUGAAAGAUGGCAUCAUCUGGCAGCUAAAGUUGGGGACCGCAAGGCCUGACGCUUUAUGAUAAGCCCGCGGCCUAUCAGCUUGUUGGUGAGGUAACGGCUCACCAAGGCUAAGACGGGUAACUGGUCUGAGAGGACGAUCAGUCACACUGGAACUGAGACACGGUCCAGACACCUACGGGUGGCAGCAGUCGAGAAUCUUUCACAAUGGGGGAAACCCUGAUGGAGCGACGCCGCGUGGGGGAUGAAUGGCUUCGGCCCGUAAACCCCUGUCAUUCGUGAACAACCCUUGCUAUUUAAAAGAUGGCAAGCUGAUAGUAGCGAAAGAGGAAGGGACGGCUAACUCUGUGCCAGCAGCCGCGGUAAUACAGAGGUCCCAAGCGUUGUUCGGAUUCACUGGGCGUAAAGGGUGCGUAGGUGGUGGGGUAAGUUUGAUGUGAAAGCUCCGGGCUCAACCCGGAAAUUGCAUUGAAUACCAUCUCGCUAGAGGAUUGGAGGGGGGACUGGAAUUCUCGGUGUAGCAGUGAAAUGCGUAGAUAUCGAGAGGAACACCAGUGGCGAAGGCGAGUCCCUGGACAAUUCCUGACACUGAGACACGAAAGCUAGGGGAGCAAACAGGAUUAGAUACCCUGGUAGUCCUAGCCGUAAACGGUGCACAUUUGCUGAGAGAGGAAUCGACCCCUUUCCUGGCGUAGCAAACGCGUUAAAUGUGCCGCCUGGGAAGUACGGUCGCAAGAUUAAAAUCAAAGAAAUUGACGGGGGCCUGCACAAGCGGUGGAGUAUGUGGCUUAAUUCGAUGCAACGCGAAGAACCUUACCUGGCCUUGACAUGUAGGUGGUAGAAACCUGAAAGGGUGACGACCCCGCAAGGGGAGCCUACACAGGUGCUGCAUGGCUGUCGUCAGCUCGUGUCGUGAGAUGUUGGGUUAAGUCCCGCAACGGGCGCAACCCUUGUGUCCUGUUGCCACUCCUGCGAGAGCAGGAAGCACUCUGGACAUACUGCCUCGUCUAAACGAGGAGGAAGGUGGGGAUGACGUCAAGUCAGUAUGGCCCUUACGGCCAGGGCUGCACACGUACUACAAUGCCUAGUACAAAGGGAAGCAAGAUCGCAAGGUGGAGCAAAUCCUCAAAACUGGGCUCAGUUCAGAUUGUCGUCUGCAACUCGACGGCAUGAAGCUGGAAUCGCUAGUAAUGGCGCAU